GCACCUGCAAAAUCAGGUGCCGGGAUUGACCUCCUGCCUGACUUUACUGGUAACCCUUACCAGAGACUAC
rnacentral:sRNA from 1 species